AAAAUCCGUUGACUUUUAAAAUCGUGAGGGUUCAAGU
rnacentral:tRNA from 2 species